GCUACAGACCGGGCCGUCGAUCCCUCGCUUUGGCAGGGGUAGGAAAGUCCGGACAGCACAGUGCCAUGCACCGGUUAAGAGCCGGGCUUCGGGCAACCGAAGACAGAAAGUGCCACAGAAAAUAACUGCCCAUAACAUUAACUUGUUAGAGGUGAGGAUGAAAACGUGGGGUAAGAGCCCACGGUCCUGGAUGGUAACAUCCCGGGCGGGUAAACCUUGCAUGCUGAAAUGCCACGUAUAGUAGCCCUUAAGAGUGGCACACUCAAGCCUUGCGCAAGCAGGCGGGUUACAGGGUAGGCAGCUUGAGCCCCUUGGGUAACUUUGGGGACAGAUAAAUGACGCCCUCGACAGAAUCCGGCUUAUAGGUCUGUAGCUUUU
rnacentral:RNase_P_RNA from 1 species